rnacentral:rRNA from 1 species
GUAGGUGGCAAGCGUUGUCCGGAAUUAUUGGGCGUAAAGCGCGCGCAGGUGGUUCUUUAAGUCUGAUGUGAAAGCCCCCGGGCUCAACCGGGGAGGGUCAUUGGAAACUGGGGAACUUGAGUGCAGGAGAGGAAAGUGGAAUUCCACGUGUAGCGGUGAAAUGCGUAGAUAUGUGGAGGAACACCAGUGGCGAAGGCGACGUUUCUGGCCUGUAACUGACACUGAGGCGCGAAAGCGUGGGGAGCGAAACAGGAUUAGAUACCCUCGGUAGUCCACGCCGUAAACGAUGAGUGCUAAGUGUUGGGGGGUUUCCGCCCCUCAGUGCUGCAGCUAACGCAUUAAGCACUCCGCCUGGGGAGUACGGUCGCAAAGACUG